CCACAAGGCAACAACAUACAGGAGAAGGUUAUCUGCAGUUGUAAAGCUCGAAUGCAUGUGGGUGUUAUUCAUUGUCUCGAACAAGCAAACGCUCCAUUCCUUUCAACUUUCCUGAUGCAUCCAUGGGCGGAAUGUGACGGAUCGCAGGCGACUUCUAAGAAGCCUCAGGAAAUGGUGAGAGGACGAUCACCUCAGUACAAGUAGCUCAACAACGCCGUAGUGAUCUCCCAACAUGAACUGUAUCAGCUAAAGGGGAACUGAAUAAAUCAGGCAACAGCUGGCGAUGUUUAAUGACUAGCAAAUGGAGAGCGGUGAGAGAGGUGGGAUGCUUUACAGAGACUACACUCCAAGCUCAUCUUUUAGUGAUUUGGGGGAGGCAAGUUAAAGAUGGCAGCACAGCCUCCAGUGUUGCAUCUCCUUGCUUGCUGAAAGAGACAAGGACAGGGCACCAGCGGAUGGCAGUAACACAAGUAGGAAGUUUGGUGAGAGGUCUUUUAGCAAGACAAGUAUCACCAUUUCUCUCUCUCUCUCUCUCUCUCUCUCUCUCUUUGAAUUAGAAAGAUGGAGGACAGCCUCCUCUCCCCUGAUUAAUAUACUUGGACUUUA